ensembl:lncRNA
UUUUAAUCAAGAAAACAGUGUGGAUAUUUUACUCCAGCUGGUAAUGGGGGCUGGGGGAAAUAGCGAGAUGAAUUUUACAAACUGAAUUUGAGAACUGAAUUUCUUCAAAGUGAUGAUACUUGCUAAAGAGAAUGAAGUGGCUAUAAAGCUUCUUUAAAAGAAUGAUAGCGUCGGAUUCAGCCUUCAAGCAGCAUGCUACAAAUGCACUCUGAUCCUAGGAGUAGCAACGUCUGUUUCAGCUCUUCAGGACACGGGCUAUCUUUGAGGACAAUCUUCUGACACCUGAUUCUUGGAAUAAAGGACUAUCUGACUGCAACACCAUUGAUUAGCGAUGGACUAAGCUCGCCCAGCAGUGUGAACAAAUUGCCUGGAAAUGUCGUCAUCAGGCUUCAACUGGCACUAUCUCCCUUUCUGUCUGGGUCAUUGAUUUCCUCAUCUCCUUUGCCUUAAAACUCACAUCAUACAUCAAUUUCUGAGUCUCCAGCACUGAAGCAGCUGCACUGUGCCUUUCCUGCUCAACACCAGCAGCUUUCAGCCUCUGAAGUGUCCUUUACUGAUGCUCGUCUGAAGACCUCCUGAAUGUGCCUCAAGUGGCCUCCCUGCCUGCUACAUAAAAGCCUCUGCUCUGCCAGCUUUUGUUUCAUCACAAGAGGGCUUAGAGCUGUUCUGCUCUCGGAAAUUGGGUAAAAUUUGGUCUCCUUCCUACAAUGACUCAGUGUGCUGGAGAAAUGACUCCUGCCUUGUGCGAGCAGCUAUGGCAGGGCACCGAGCUGUGCCAGCCUCUGCUAGCCACCAGCUACCCUCAGGAGAGCCCCUCAGCCAGCAAGGAGCUGGGGCUGCUCUGCACACGGGUCUUAUGAUUGCUAAAUGUAGAGUCCAUUGAUAAAUAAAGCAAAUGCACAAAGUGUGCAAGAACCAGCAGUUGUUACAGUGUCAUCUUAGCUAACACAGCCUUUUCCUCUGUUCUUUUGCUUUCCUCUUUGUGGC